UACAGAGGGUGCAAGCGUUAAUCGGAUUUACUGGGCGUAAAGCGUGCGUAGGCGGUUUCCUAAGUCGGAUGUGAAAGCCCUGGGCUCAACCUGGGAAUGGCACUCGAUACUGGGAAGCUGGAGUGCGGUAGAGGAGGGUGGAAUUCCCGGUGUAGCGGUGAAAUGCGUAGAGAUCGGGAGGAACAUCAGUGGCGAAGGCGACCCUCUGGACCAGCACUGACGCUGAGGCACGAAAGCGUGGGGAGCAAACAGG
rnacentral:rRNA from 1 species